ACACUCUCUUUUUACGUCUUAUGAAUUCGCCAGUGCCCUUGAUAGUGAAAGAAUCAAUGUUCUCCUUCGGAUCCAUCACUUCAUUCUGCUCAAAAAGCCAUUUUAAUAACAAUGAAAUCGAAGUAAUUCACAAGCAGUCAGUCAUUGGCCACAGGUUUGCUGCUACUGUUCCUACACGCUAUUCCAUCUAGGUGAUUGUGCUAAUCUGUACAUCAUUUGGCGGACUUGUUGACAUCAACUGAUAUCUAAGUAUGAGAUUGAUCUAUUUCGCUUGACCACUCUCUGUGUGAUUUUAUUUGCUGAAAAUUCACAUUAUUGAAACAGAGGAGAAGUCUGUGUGCAUAAGUGGCCUAACACUAAAAAUCUCAUUGCUUUUUCUAGGACUUCUUUCUUAAGAUUUGUAUGAAGAAUGAAUAGAUUACAUUCAUUGUGUUGUUACAGGAUUUCCCUCCAACAAGCAUGCUGGAUCCAAAAUUAUGGUGACAAAACCAGCAAAAUAACCAGAGUACAAAUACAAAAUCAUCUAGGUGGACUGACCAUUGAGGAUUUAAGUGAAACUCAACUAUUAUGUUUUUCAAGUUAUGCUUGCAGAUUACCCUGAUUAGUCUCGAUUGAUUCUUCUUAGGCCAUGGAGUCAAACUGGCUUUCAUUUUGAAUUACCAUGACAUAGUGAUGCCGUACGCGAGGAAAGUUAACCUGUCACCUUCAAAGAUUUAUGCCUCCAGAACCGUGCUCUUUCUGCAAAGGACUGUACUUUGAAGCCACUAGCCAUUGAACUAAGCUUGCCUUCUCCCUAUGGAUAUCAAUUUGUUGCCAUCAACUUACUGUAGUUUGUUAAUAGCAGUCUCUAACAUUUCUUUGAAAAUGUCUAAUUUUGCUUCUCAGGUAUCAGUUGAGCCUUUUGUGAUAGUGACUCAUAGGCAGCGUACGCUCCAUCCUUUCUAUAAGCUAUUGCAACCUCACUUGCGUGAUACGAUGGAUAUCAAUGCCUUAGCUUGGCAGUCUGUACGUAAUGCUGGAGGAUUGUCAAGAAAUCGGUUCUCCCCAGACCCCUGUCAGUGGAGUUGACUUCAAAUGCUUACAAAGAUUGGGUUUUCGCUGAUCAAGCAAUCCCUACCUAGCUUGUUAUGGGAGAAGUGGCGAUUGAGGAUCCUGCAUCCAAACAUGGCAUAUGCCUACUAAUUGAGGACUAUCCUUAUGUUGUGGAUGCACUUGAAAUAUGGUCAACGAUCAAAAGUUGGGCACACCAGUACGUGUAUUCUCAAAAUUGUUCUAAACUAGACUACAAGAUCGCGGGAUCCGUAGGAGACGAGCAUUCUCUUGUGUGAGACAUAUGAAUGAAUAAUUAAAACUAUAAUAUGUUUGAGUGUUUAUAAGCUAUUAAUGAGUUUAUACAGUACUCAUGAAUUGUAACUAUAUAUUGGAACUAUUUUUCUCUCC